rnacentral:rRNA from 1 species
GAUGAACGCUGGCGGCGUGCCUAAUACAUGCAAGUCGAGCGAACGGACGAGAAGCCUGCUUCUCUGAUGUUAGCGGCGGACGGGUGAGUAACACGUGGAUAACCUACCUAUAAGACUGGGAUAACUUCGGGAAACCGUAGCUAAUACCGGAUAAUAUUUUGAACCGCAUGGUUCAAAAGUGAAAGACGGUCUUGCUGUCACUUAUAGAUGGAUCCGCGCUGCAUUAGCUAGUUGGUAAGGUAACGGCUUACCAAGGCAACGAUGCAUAGCCGACCUGAGAGGGUGAUCGGCCACACUGGAACUGAGACACGGUCCAGACUCCUACGGGAGGCAGCAGUAGGGAAUCUUCCGCAAUGGGCGAAAGCCUGACGGAGCAACGCCGCGUGAGUGAUGAAGGUCUUCGGAUCGUAAAACUCUGUUAUUAGGGAAGAACAUAUGUGUAAGUAACUGUGCACAUCUUGACGGUACCUAAUCAGAAAGCCACGGCUAACUACGUG